UGGGGCUGCUGUCUCUGGGGUCACACAGAGUCAGACAUGACUGAAGCACCUUAGCAGCAGCAACUGGUAUCUGGUGGUUAGAAGACAGGAAUGUUGAGAGUCACACUACAGUGCCCAGGACAACCCCCCAACCCUCACCCUAACAACAAAGAACUAGCUGACCCAAAAUGCCAACAGUGCCCAGAUGAAGAAAUCCUGUAAGAGAGAUUUGAAGUUGUGUCUUGGGAGCCACAUAACGGGCAGUGAUUAUCCUUGCUUAGGCCCUACAAGGACCCUAGUGUAAAUCCUUUCCCUCACUAGCCAUGCAAUGUUCAAACCUGCAGAGAUUUAUUUCAUUCAUUUUCUAUUUGUUUAAUAAACAGACUGGAAGCACUGGAGGGAAAAAUAUUCCAGCAGUGAAGUAAGAUGAAAGCUAUUAGUAACCCUAGUUUGACUUAAGUGAAUAGUAGGAAACAACAUCUGCCAUCAGGAAGUGAGUUGUAGAAACUGAAAAAAAAAGUUAAGAGUAUUUAAAAAGCUCUGGUUCAAACAAAUGUCUAUGUGAACCAAUGGGUAGCUUGAAAACAGUGAAGACAUUUCCGUUUCUUAUGUCUUUGAUAGAAUGGAAAGAGCUUUUAUUUUCUUUAGCGUGGUAAUCAUUCAUAUUUAUCCUAUGACAUGCCCUAAAAGCUUAAAGAAUAACAAACUCCCAAGGGUAAACACAGAAUUUUGUGAGCGAGUGAGACCUCUGGAUGAAUCCUUAUCAUUGUAUGCUUGGAUAAAACAAGAUUUCCAUGCAUUAAACAGUACAAGACUUUCUAUUUGGGAAGUAAGCUUCCACCACUUUGAAGGGCUCUAGCUACUUCUCAAGGAUAACAAACAUAAACUCCCCCAAGGUAUGACUCCUUCCCCAUUCAAGUUCAGCGCUCUAGUCUCAGUGCGCCUAUCACCAGCCCUUGCUUGGCUUAUUUGUACACUGUUGGCUGUUCCAUGUCAUUUAUUUGGUAAUACUUGACAUCAACAAGUGCCACCAAAUACAUUAAUACCAGAAGUCUGAAAAUUUAAAAAGAAUCAAAACACAUGCAGCCUGCUUUGUACCAAGCCAUCUGAAGCUAGGUACUUUUUGUAAUAAUGAAAAUGUGAGGUCAUGUGGAUGGGAGAGAUGGUUCCAGAUUCCUGAAAAAGGCUCAUGGUCAACUGGUCUCAGGUGCACCAAAUGUGGUUUUAGGUUCCUGCCUGUGAUCCCAAGAAGAAAGAGUACUCAGCUUAUUCAAGGAGGUAUAAAAAUGCUAUGGAACCCCCAAAUCAUCUCAUCAUCAAGGACAGUUUUUAACAAUUUCAGAAGGAUGUAUAUUCACUUCAAAGGAAUGCCUUAAAAAGUAUCACAAACUAGGGGCUUAAAGCAAUGGAAAUUUACUGUCUCAUGGUUCUAGAGGCUAGAUGUCCAAAAUCAACAUGUCAGCAAGACCACGUGCCCUUUGAAACCUGCAGGGGAAUCCAUCCUUAUCUCUUCCUAACUUCUGGUUUUCUGGCCAUCUUUGGCAUUCCUUGGUGUGCAGCUGCAUAACUUCAAUCAAUAACAUGGCCUUCUUGUGUCUUCACAUUACACCAUCUUCUUAGAAGGAUGCCUGCCAUCUCAGAUGGGGAGUCCACUCUACACCAGAGUGACCUCAUCCUAAUUACAUCUACAAGAUCCUGUCUCCAAAUAAGGUCACUUUCCAAGGGAAAUUUAACUUUAAUACAAACUCAAGGAUCAUUUAUACUCCCUCCUACAAAGAGCAAAAGAUGGAGACACCUGGUGUCUCUCUUCAGCCUAAAGGUGAAAAGAAAGAAAGAAUAAGGCAAAAAGGAAUUAAUCUAAAGCAAAGUCAUGUCUACCUGGUGUGCUGCCACUUUCAGACACAUCCGUGGACUCAGUCAGCUGGAGUACCUUCUCCCCCAGGGCAGAGUACAUCAUGAGAAAUGCUGGACUGGAAGAAGCACAAGCUGG